AUUGAACGCUGGCGGCAGGCCUAACACAUGCAAGUCGAACGGUAACAGGAAGCAGCUUGCUGCUUUGCUGACGCGUGGCGGACGGGUGAGUAAUGUCUGGGAAACUGCCCGAUGGAGGGGGAUAACUCCUGGAAACGGUAGCUAUUACCGCAUAACGUCGCAAGACCAAAGAGGGGGACCUUAGGGCCCCUUGCCCUCGGCAGUGCCCAGAUGGGAUUAGCUAGUAGGGGGGGUAACGGCUCACCUAGGCGACGAUCCCUAGCUGGUCUGAGAGGAUGACCAGCCACACUGGAACUGAGACACGGUCCAGACUCCUACGGGAGGCAGCAGUGGGGAAUAUUGCACAAUGGGCGCAAGCCUGAUGCAGCCAUGCCGCGUGUAUGAAGAAGGCCUUCGGGUUGUAAAGUACUUUCAGCGGGGAGGAAGGGAGGAAAGUUAAUACCUCGGCGCAUUGACGUUACCCGCAGAAGAAGCACCGGCUAACUCCGUG
rnacentral:rRNA from 1 species